rnacentral:rRNA from 1 species
GAUGAACGCUGGCGGCGUGCCUAAUACAUGCAAGUCGAGCGAACAGAUGAGGAGCUUGCUCCUCUGACGUUAGCGGCGGACGGGUGAGUAACACGUGGAUAACCUACCUAUAAGACUGGGAUAACUUCGGGAAACCGGGGCUAAUACCGGAUAAUAUAUUGAACCGCAUGGUUCAAUAGUGAAAGACGGUUUUGCUGUCACUUAUAGAUGGAUCCGCGCCGCAUUAGCUAGUUGGUAAGGUAACGGCUUACCAAGGCAACGAUGCGUAGCCGACCUGAGAGGGUGAUCGGCCACACUGGAACUGAGACACGGUCCAGACUCCUACGGGAGGCAGCAGUAGGGAAUCUUCCGCAAUGGGCGAAAGCCUGACGGAGCAACGCCGCGUGAGUGAUGAAGUUCUUCGGAUCGUAAAACUCUGUUAUUAGGGGAGAACAAAUGUGUAAGUAACUAUGCACGUCUUGACGGUACCUAAUCAGAAAGCCACGGCUAACUACGUG